rnacentral:rRNA from 1 species
AGUGAACGCUGGCGGUAGGCCUAACACAUGCAAGUCGAACGGCAGCACAGUAAGAGCUUGCUCUUACGGGUGGCGAGUGGCGGACGGGUGAGGAAUACAUCGGAAUCUACUUUUUCGUGGGGGAUAACGUAGGGAAACUUACGCUAAUACCGCAUACGACCUACGGGUGAAAGCAGGGGAUCUUCGGACCUUGCGCGAUUGAAUGAGCCGAUGUCGGAUUAGCUAGUUGGCGGGGUAAAGGCCCACCAAGGCGACGAUCCGUAGCUGGUCUGAGAGGAUGAUCAGCCACACUGGAACUGAGACACGGUCCAGACUCCUACGGGAGGCAGCAGUGGGGAAUAUUGGACAAUGGGCGAAAGCCUGAUCCAGCCAUACCGCGUGGGUGAAGAAGGCCUUCGGGUUGUAAAGCCCUUUUGUUGGGAAAGAAAAGCAGCAGGUUAAUACCCCGCUGUUCUGACGGUACCCAAAGAAUAAGCACCGGCUAACUUCGCG